GCUGCCGUGGCUCAGUGGUAGAGCACUCCCUUGGUAAGGGAGAUGUCAAUGUUUGUUUUUCUCCAUCA
rnacentral:tRNA from 1 species